GACGAACGCUGGCGGCGUGCUUAACACAUGCAAGUCGAACGAUGAAGCCCAGCUUGCUGGGUGGAUUAGUGGCGAACGGGUGAGUAACACGUGAGCAACGUGCCCGAGACUCUGGAAUAACUACCGGAAACGGUGGCUAAUACUGGAUAUUUGCCAGGGAGGCAUCUCCUCUGGUUGGCAAGAUUUUUCGGUUUCGGAUCGGCUCACGGCCUAUCAGCUUGUUGGUGGGGUAAUGGCCUACCAAGGCGACGACGGGUAGCCGGCCUGAGAGGGUGACCGGCCACACUGGGACUGAGACACGGCCCAGACUCCUACGGGAGGCAGCAGUGGGGAAUAUUGCACAAUGGGCGCAAGCUUGAUGCAGCAACGCCGCGUGAGGGAUGACGGCCUUCGGGUUGUAAACCUCUUUUAGUAGGGAAGAAGCGCAAGUGACGGUACCUGCAGAAAAAGCACCGGCUAACUACGUG
rnacentral:rRNA from 1 species